rnacentral:rRNA from 1 species
UACGUAGGGUGCAAGCGUUGUCCGGAAUUAUUGGGCGUAAAGAGCUCGUAGGCGGUCUGUCGCGUCUGCUGUGAAAACUCGGGGCUUAACCCCGGGCCUGCAGUGGGUACGGGCAGACUAGAGUGCGGUAGGGGAGACUGGAAUUCCUGGUGUAGCGGUGAAAUGCGCAGAUAUCAGGAGGAACACCGGUGGCGAAAAGCGGCUCUCGUGGGGCUCUUCUGACGCUGAGGUACGAAAGCUAGGGGAGCAAACGGG